GGCAAAGGUGGGAGAGGGACAAUGAAGUGGAGAGAAAGAGGGAGUGAGAGUAAAGAAUGAAGAAGACAAAACUAUUAUCCAUGUGAUGAAGGGGGAUCAAUCAAGUUUGUUUGAAAUUUUUAUUUCAUUUCAAUUUUACACUGAUGAGGAUAAUUUUCUGCUACAAGGCUCAAACACCAGAAAGACAUUCAACAGACAUAGGCAUGCCUAUCAAAUAAUUUGAAGGAAAUGUUACUAAUUGUACUAAUUCAUCAAUUUUACCAAUUGUGUCAAUUUUCUUUGCUCUGCAGAUGACAAGCAGCCAUAUAUCUGAGGGUAAAAUGAUGAAUAAGAAGAACGCUUGACGUAAUUCAAGGCACAAUAGGUAACAUAAACACCUCAUAUAAUAUACUAAUACUUCUAAUUUAACUAGCAUAACUAGCAUACUUAACUAGCAUACAUGUAUCAACAUGUUAAAAAAACGUACAACUAGUAGGGCAUUCAUAUUUGUUGUCCUGGUGUGUUACUGCAAGCCAAUGUUUUCAUGGUUAACUUUACCAUUAGUCAUUUCUUGCGCUAACACUUAAGUCCACAAGAGCAUAAACCUUUAAGGGUUUAUUUCUGACCUCAUACAUAAACAUAAAUUUAACAACAAUCCUCAUACAGGAAACGAUGUCCUCUUAAAAUUCCUCUGCCUGUUCGAAGUCCAGCCACUGUUGUUUACUGUCACUGGGGUAACAUGAGAUCUAAUUGCCACAAUUUAAACAGACAUAAAAAGCCACUCACUGUGUGUGUGCGUGCGUGUGUGUGUGUGUGUGUGUGUGUGUGUGUGUGUGUUGACAAGGUUGUGACGGUGGUGUUGAGGUGUAGGAGAGAGUCUGUUGAUUGUAGAUCCCCCCCAGUGACACUGAAUCUUCAGUACCCCUCAGCUCCCUCAAUCUUCAUACGUGGGUUCAUUAAAAUGGAUGACGACCUCCAGUGAAGCAACUGGCUCCAUUUCAUUGUUUGGGUCCAGCCAAUACAUGACUGUCUUCACUUGAUCCCAGUUCAGGAAGAUGAUGAGAACCAGGAAGAGGAAGUAAAGAACACUGAGACC